rnacentral:rRNA from 1 species
AGCAGCCGCGGUAAUUCCAGCUCCAAUAGCGUAUAUUAAAGUUGUUGCAGUUAAAAAGCUCGUAGUUGAAUUUCGGGGUCAGUAGGUUGGUCGUGCCACAGGUAUGAACUGGUCUCACUGAUUCCUCCUUCCUGAUGAACCGUAAUGCCAUUAAUUUGGUGUUGCGGGGAGACUGGACUGUUACUUUGAAAAAAUUAGAGUGUUUAAAGCAGGCUAACGCUUGAAUACAUUAGCAUGGAAUAAUGAAAUAGGACGUUCGGUCUUAUUUUGUUGGUUUCUAAGAUUGACGUAAUGAUUAAUAGGGAUAGUUGGGGGCAUUAGUAUUCAAUUGUCAGAGGUGAAAUUCUUGGAUUUAUUGAAGACUAACUACUGCGAAAGCAUUUGCCAAGGAUGUUUUCAUUAAUCAAGAACGAAAGUUAGGGGAUCGAAGACGAUCAGAUACCGUCGUAGUCUUAACCAUAAACUAUGCCGACUAGGGAUCGGAUGAUGUUAAUUUUUUAAUGACUCA